rnacentral:rRNA from 1 species
UACGGAGGAUCCAAGCGUUAUCCGGAAUCAUUGGGUUUAAAGGGUCCGUAGGCGGCCUUAUAAGUCAGCGGUGAAAGUUUGCAGCUUAACUGUAAAAUUGCCAUUGAUACUGUAGGGCUUGAAUUUUUGUGAAGUAACUAGAAUAUGUAGUGUAGCGGUGAAAUGCUUAGAUAUUACAUGGAAUACCAAUUGCGAAGGCAGGUUACUAACAAACGAUUGACGCUGAUGGACGAAAGCGUGGGUAGCGAACAGG